rnacentral:rRNA from 1 species
UACGGAGGGUGCGAGCGUUGUCCGGAAUCACUGGGCGUAAAGGGCGCGUAGGCGGCAUGCCAAGCGUGUGGUGAAAGCCCGGGGCUCAACCCCGGGUCGGCCGUGCGGACUGGCGUGCUCGAGCACUGUAGAGGCAGGUGGAAUUCCGGGUGUAGCGGUGGAAUGCGUAGAGAUCCGGAAGAACACCAGUGGCGAAGGCGGCCUGCUGGGCAGUUGCUGACGCUGAGGCGCGACAGCGUGGGGAGCAAACAGG